rnacentral:rRNA from 1 species
GACGAACGUUGGCGGCGUGCUUAACACAUGCAAGUCGAACGGAAAGGCCCUGCUUUUGUGGGGUGCUCGAGUGGCGAACGGGUGAGUAACACGUGAGUAACCUGCCCUUGACUUUGGGAUAACUUCAGGAAACUGGGGCUAAUACCGGAUAGGAGCUCCUGCUGCAUGGUGGGGGUUGGAAAGUUUCGGCGGUUGGGGAUGGACUCGCGGCUUAUCAGCUUGUUGGUGGGGUAGUGGCUUACCAAGGCUUUGACGGGUAGCCGGCCUGAGAGGGUGACCGGCCACAUUGGGACUGAGAUACGGCCCAGACUCCUACGGGAGGCAGCAGUGGGGAAUAUUGCACAAUGGGCGGAAGCCUGAUGCAGCAACUCCGCGUGCGGGAUGACGGCCUUCGGGUUGUAAACCGCUUUCGCCUGUGACGAAGCGUGAGUGACGGUAAUGGGUAAAGAAGCACCGGCUAACUACGUG